CGGCCCAAGCAGCCCAGGUGCGCGCCAGUGGGCCUGCCCAGGUUGGCCCGGAACCUUCCCUUUGCUGCGCCUGCCGCCGCUGCCGUUGCCGCCGCCGCCGGUGCGCCGAGGGUCCCCGCCGGCGCGGGAGUUGGGGCCGCCGCCGGAUCCAGAUCCGCCCCCUGGUUCCCGUCGGUGGAGGAGCGACACCCGCCCUGAACGGCGCAGGACGAGUUGCCGGAGUAGACGAGGAGCGCCGUGGCCCGUGGCCGUCGCCACCUUGUCCUCGCUGGCCAGCCGCGAUUCCUUGAGGACAAGGAGGUCGCCGGCCUGGGCGAACGUGCGGAACACGGAGGCCUUGGCGAGCUGAGGCACCGGAUAUAUGUGAGAGUUUGGAGAUGUGGGGCCUUUAAUGAACUUCAGUUUUCAGAGCUGCAGUCCUUUAGCUCAGAGUUCAAGCUAUACACCAAAAUUUCGAAAAUGCAAGCAAUGGUACAAGUACAAGGGGUUGAAACUUCCAAAACCAAGACCUCAUCCAGUUGAUUCAAUAUAUGCUGACACGUGACACUGUGACAGGAUUGGACAUGAUAUGGCUGAUGCCGAUGGAUCCUUUUGGUGGCUAUCAACAUCGUCGCCGCCGUGGUUGCGCGCUGUUGAUAGUGGUGGGCUGUGUGCGAACAUUGUCACGGUGCGCUGUGGAGCGUGCGAGUACUGAUGGUACGUGCAGAACCGUGGACGACUGUGGAGCAGUGAGAGGUAAUAUCUGUGUUCAA